rnacentral:hammerhead_ribozyme from 1 species
ACACUACUGAGGAGUCCCACAACAGGACGAAACGGCCGUGCAGUGC